UUGGAGGGCAAGUCUGGUGCCAGCAGCCGCGGUAAUUCCAGCUCCAAUAGCGUAUAUUAAAGUUGUUGCAGUUAAAAAGCUCGUAGUUGAAUUUCGGGAUCAAUUUAUUGGUCGUGCUAUUGUACGUACUGGUAUUAUUGAUUCCUACCUUCUGACGAACCAUGAUGUCAUUAAUUUGGUGUCUUGGGGAAUCAGGACUGUUACUUUGAAAAAAUUAGAGUGUUUAAAGCAGGCUCACGCUUGAAUACAUUAGCAUGGAAUAACGAAAUAGGACGUUUGAUUCUAUUUUGUUGGUUUCUAGGAUCGACGUAAUGAUUAAUAGGGAUAGUUGGGGGCAUUAGUAUUCAAUUGUCAGAGGUGAAAUUCUUGGAUUUAUUGAAGACUAACUACUGCGAAAGCAUUUGCCAAGGAUGUUUUCAUUAAUCAAGAACGAAAGUUAGGGGAUCGAAGACGAUCAGAUACCGUCGUAGUCUUAACCAUAAACUAUGCCGACUAGGGAUCGGAUGAUGUUAAUUUUUUAGUGACUCAUUCGGCGCCUUACGGGAAAC
rnacentral:rRNA from 1 species